UGCCAAGCGUAGCGGCUCCUUGGCUGGAUCACCGUCGCACACCUCACCGGCGUGGUCGGCAAGAUCUGCAUCUCGAUCCUCGCCACUCUCCAUCCUCUUGCAGGUAAUAGGCUUUCCGCCCCCUCUUUUAUCUCCGGCGUUCUCGUGUGCACGGAUUGUGAGCGUGAAGGAAUAUUUCUCUUCUAUUUCAUGGUGCUGCUGUGCUCCUUCUGCUUUCACACUGCACAUAUAUAGAUUCUUCAAAGGAAUUGGAUGCUGAUAAUAUCAACUAAGUUCCCUGAAUGUGAUAUAUAUUCUUCCCUCGCUUUGAAUUGAUUGCCCCAAACAAUAUAUCUCUGGUUGACAGUCAUGGCCUAUUAUUAUUGUUGUUAAUUUACAACACUCUGCGCUGUAUUGUCCAAUCAUGGUCCAAACUUCAACUUGGUUGUGGAUUCAUUGUAUGUACCAUAUGCUGUUCAUAGCUACAAAAUUGCAAUCUCGCGAAAAUGUUCUUGAAUACAGUAAUUUUUUUGUCACAUAACCCAUAUGCUGAUGAUAAAGUUUGUUGUAUGAGCUUGUGGCAUACUGAUCCGACAGGUGGCAGGUAUGCAUUCAGAUGUUGCAGCUCUAAGGAAGGGUAGUAUAUGGCACAUGGCUUCGUGGGUUGUUCAACAAGAAGUGUUUUGGGCAUAUUCGAAAGGCAAUCUUGUGAAAAUUAUACAUCGAUUUUCUUAUUCCGUCAUCAGCUUCUAUUGAUAUGAGCGAUACAAAAAGUUCAGCACUGAAUUUUAGUAUGUUAACUUGCAAGAUUUCUCACGACUAUGUUUUUUUGUUAUAGGUUUAUAAAUUUCGAAAUAUAGUUGCAGCUUCACGGAAUGGACGGCCCAAAUUAUGUUAGUGUCUAUAUGUUUACUUGGUGGUGGUCUAGCGUGAGUGACACCUGCAUCUGUAACUUACCCAUUGGAUGUUCUUCGAAAUCACCUGACAACACAGAAAACCACUAGGUAUUACAAGGGCAUCUUUCACACGUUGUCUACAAUUUGUAGAGAAGAGAAUAGUAGAGGAUUGUAUAAAGGCCUUUGGUCCACCUUAUUGGGAGUUGGACCUGAUAUAUCAAUCAACGUUUAUGUAUAUGAAUCCCUGAGGUCUCAUUGGAAAAUGGAAAGUUGAAUGUCAAACUGUGCGACCAAUGAUUUGAUAUGGUUAAUUCCAGUUGGGUGUGUUAACCUACAGUAAUCAAUCAAGUCAACAAAUAUAACAAUGAUACUUUGUCUUCUGAUUUUUGGUGAUGAUUUUUUUUGUGACUGAACUAACAGGAGUUGAAGCAUGUGUUCUUAUUUUUUAUAUGACUAGAUGCAUAUGAACUGAAGCUCCAUAAUUUUCUUUUCAAGUCGACAUUGGUGGCAACCAAUACAAUUAGCGUUAUUUACAACCAAUGAAGUCUUAUAAUUUUCUUUCUUAGAAAUAUACAGUGACGCUGACUAUCAUUUAGUAGCUCUACAGGCACUAGCCAAAAACAAUAAUGUUUAUUUAUUUAACCACCAAAUAGAACAAUAGGUUAUUCUGCAUUGUGGGUACACAAAUCACAACACUAUAUUUCAGCUGUAGAAAUCUGUGUGGAUGCCUGCUGAUAUUUUAAGCCUACAUAUUGCCGAUUUGGUUUGAGUAAUGCUUGAAGCAUAAUUUACUUCCUAAUGUGCAAAUAGCAGUAUCAUUUUUUGUCAAGAAACUGAGAAGACGGAAGAGAGUUGGUGUUGUCAGUGUGGUGAGCCUAUGCGGCAACCACAAGGCUGAAGUCUGCUUUGAUCGUUAUUCAAGAUUUGAGCCUUGGCUCCGGUUUUGAUAGCUCUAUAUCAGUAAGUUUAGUCCAGUAACUAUUUUAAGUAUCUUUACUGUGCAUAGUUGCAUACAUUUUAUUCAUGGAUUAGUCUUGGUAAUAUUAACAUUUGAAAAGCAAUUUUUGUGUGACCAUUUUUUCAUCUUAGUAUCUCCAUCUACCAGCAAAAGUCAACGUGCACAAACCUGUAUUUAACAUGCAACAUGAGAUAGUGUGCAUCGAAACUAUGCUUAUGUUUGUGACAUUCAUGUGGCAUCUCAUGCAGAUAGAUUUUAUUAUCCAUUUCUGUAGCAUGCAAUGUUUAUUUUCUUCUUUUGGUCCAUAAUCCCUCCUAAAAGAAAUAUAAGAGUGUUUAGAUCACUAAAGAAGUGAUCUAAACGCUCUUAUAUUUCUUUACAUAUGGAGUACAUGUCAUGAUUGUUGGAUACACAUGCAGACUUUCAGCGAGUUUUUGUUCUCGGACUUGGGAUCCACAGUCCAAAGUUGAUUGGUGGAUCAAGUGAACUUGGUGCAUCUCCAUUCAAGCUGGAGUACAAUUACCGGCCUGCUUGUUUAGCGCAGUCUCCACAAUCAUACAAGCAAAUGAGCAGCUGGCGACCCAACACACAAAGUUUCUAUCUUCUUAUUUUCUAUACAAGUAGCAGCUGGCGCAGCGGUGGUGUUGAUGAACGACACCCAAUGCAGAGGCGGCAGUUACCAUAGGGAAGAGGUCAAGAACAUCUAGCUCUUGUGGUGUUCCUCCUCAUUAUUGUCAUCGCCAUCAACAGCAACAAUGACGACCGGCUCAUGAGACAGCUACUAGAGAGGGAGCGAGGAAGGGGGAGACAAAUCUUUCAGGUGCUCGGUCAAAAAUCACCUAAGGAAAAUAUGUUGUUCUUCUCUACAAGGGUUGCAUGUGGAAUUUGAGGAGAAUCUGUGCACCAGCAUCCGACUCCUUGAUGUUGCUCUGAUCAUAUUGUGUAAAU